GGAUACUACAGAUAGUGCCCUGCCAUGUGGAGUUUAGAACUAUUACAGUUUGAUCCAUGUCUGGCUGACCACCUUUCUAAAUCUGGACAGAAGGGGAAAGAUGGUGGUGAAACAGGAUCUUCUGAGCUGCAAAGCAGCAUUUAAUGUUGGUGAUUAGCUCAUUCACCUACUUGAACAUCUUCAUGCAGAAAACCCUGUGGAAGAGCUUCAGGCAGCUGAUGCCUCAUUACAGGGACAGUAUGAUGAUGUAGGUGCCAUCUGAUCAGGAGCCUUACCUGCUGUACCACUGCACUGUCAGGGCUGACGAGGAAACUGCUGCUAAUACCCCACCACUAGAAGCUACACCCACUGACACAGUGCUGAUUGGACAUUACUAGGUAUAAAGCUUCCUGUUCCUAUGUCCUCCUGUUCCUGUCUCAACCCUUGUCUGAGCAGCUAGUUGCUAGGCCUGUUGCUGCCCAGACCUGAGACCAAGUCCCUGGUUCCUGUUCCCCUGCCUCAUCCCUGUUCCUAUAUCUUGUUCCUGGUUCCUUGCCCUGACCCAGGUUGCUGUCUCUGGCUUUGACUCUUGGCAUGACCACAACCCCAGCUCUGUUCCUGGCUCCAACCACUAGGUUAGGCAGUCCCCAUUGCGGGUCCUGACAGAUAAAAGGAAACUAAAGUGCCUGAGAUUUAUUGGGAAACAUCAUUCACAGUUUGCUAAAUAUCUGGAGCUUAUUUUUCCCCUCCCCUGGCCCCCUUUUCAUCUUACUCCACAAGUGGUGCCACUGACAUCAGAGGAAUUAUUUUUAUGUAAGGUGCUGUUCAU